ensembl:lncRNA
CGGGGGGGGGGCCGGGGGGGGGGGGGGGGGGGGGAAUGUGACAUGCAGCCCAGCAGAGUGGCUCGUACUGUAAAAACCUAGGGAAGACCGCAGCCCCGGCUCCAUCAUUUCAUUAUAAUUUAAAAUGCAAUUAUAAAAGGCUGAUUUGAAUGUAAAUAUCGCUCUUAAACACAUAAAAGGCGAAUCUAGAUUUAAGAAGCCCAAAUCAGCAGGUAAAUCUUUCAGCUAGCUGCUCUUCUUCGUACCCUCCGAAAUCUCAGAAUCAAGGAACGGUGAUUCACAGGAAAACCCAGCCCCGGCGCUGGAAACCAAAGGCCUCGGGACAGCCUCCUUCCUUUAAUCUCAAGGGAAAAUUCUAUUACUCCCAAAAAAGAAAGAGAAAAAUUGGGCUUUACUCUGUGUGUUCCGGGCACACCAUUUCUAACCACAACUACCAGUCUCAUUUGGCGAUAAUAACCGCAGUCUCGGCCGGUCACAUCUCUGCUCGGCAAGCCUCCUACCACUGGCUGCAAGUGGGCUGGGCCGGGGCGCUCGUACGAUCCAUCCACAGGGCUUCUGAGCUGCCUCUAAAGGCAGGACUCCUGCAUCCGGACCGAGACAAAGUGCCCAUCCAUUCACAGUAAGGCCAUGCAGGAUUGUACUUUCAAAGCCCCACACCUCAAAAAAAAAAGGCUCCAUAACAUCGGAAAGCAUGGCCGAUGCCAUCUGGGCUUCUUUUCUUGUUCCAACAAGAUGUUCUGAGAAAGGGCACUCCUGCUGGGCCUUCCUGGAGGAUCAGCUAAGAGAGAAAAUUCUCCCCAAGCCAGCAUUUUGGUAAAUGUUCACUGCGUGCACCAAGAACAAUCAGGCUGUUGGAGGUGAAAGCCUCCCACCGAAGAGCCACCCCUAUCGCCGACAGGGACGCUGGUGGCUGGUGUGGCUACUCUGGACCCCUGACGCGGGACAUCUUGCCUGGUUUUUCCUCCGAUCAGACCCCCGGGGCCAGCACCCAGAUGAAAUGGGAAUUUUAGUACCAUUUCUUAGCCAUAUAGUGCUUCGGUGAACUAGGUUAAAUUAUAAGCCCUCUACGACACAGCAAAAAAAGAAAGGAAAUAAACCCUGAUUUAGAACUCCAGCGGUUCAUUGGGCUAAACUGCAAGGGAGAGCAGGAACUUUUUUUUAAAAUCAAGAUUUCACAGAUUACUUCUUCAAACUGAUUGCAACAAAACCUAAGCUAGAGCCUGCAGAGUGAGGGAUGUGCAGGGCAGGGGUGAGGGUGCCAGUUACAAAUUGAAAUUUGACCACACUGGUCUUUUUUUACUGAAACACUUCCAUUUUAUUUUUUAAAACUCCAACAUGAUUUCACACAAGUCGGUACUCUGUUUAUAUAUAAGGACAGUUUCAUUUUCCUGACUAUGUCUAAAUAGCACAGCUUUCGGAUCCGGUUAACAGAAUAACAGGGUACGAGGCUGGAUUUUUCAUAUGCGCCCCUUCUACCGAGUGAAGAAAUGUCAUGCCUACACGUAUCCCUGCAAGACAAGAUAACAUUUAAUAGCGGCAAAGAAAAAAUACCAAAGAAGAAAGCCAUCGCUUUUGUUCUGGUUCCCUUCUUGCUAUUUAUAGAACAACUUUUGGUGUGAUUCCUAAUUUUAAAGGAACAUGAAGUUCAUCCUUUUUUUUUUUUUUUUUAAUCAAAAGAAAGGGGUCACAAGCGAUCGGACAAGGAGUGGGCAACCUUAACCUUGAAACCCUGAGGCCAUAGCACUUUUACGUGAUAAGCGUGUAUUUUUUCCACGUGUUUGAGAAUAAUGAGCGCUGUGGAUGGGCAUUUUCACGCCUGGUGCUUAGCUUUCAACGACGCUCACAGGCAGGGAUUUUUAACUGUCACCAGGGGCUUGUGCCUUUGCUAGUGUCUUCGCCACGCACCACGUCAUCGGCUCUGCCCUCGACGGAGGCGGCAAGGUCCUGCUUUCAAAGCCCUUCCCAUCUUCGGGUUGGAGAGGUGGCCGUGGACGCAGGCACUGCCUGCUGCCUCCUUCCUGCACUCACGCCGUCUCUGAAACUGGCAAUCUCUCACACACAGGACGCCGGAAAUUUCUAGCAGGACCCCAAGGCUCACUGGGAAACUGCUUGUGCUGGGAAAAACCUUCUCAACGCACACCUGGAGCUACAGAUUCGGAAAAAUUAACCAGCUGUAGCCCAAAACCAAAACACUCACCCAUCCGAACGCAGUCUACGAGAAACACAGAGUUCUUUGACUUGACACGAAGACUUAUAAAUAAAAUAGCUCCAAGGCAGACAGGCUGAAUGAGCCUUUUAAGACACAGCCCGUUGGUGCUUCAAACUUUAAUAUUAGAACAUUAAAUGCUAGCCACACGAAGGUAAUAUCCUGGGAUGUGUGCCUGUGCUGUGUGCACACACUCCCGCGUGCAUGUGUGUAUCCAAGUGUGUGCGUGUGUGUGUGUGUGUGUGUGUGUACAGAAAGACAACCUUUGCUGCUCUUAUGGCUUGGGGCCGACUUGAGGCACUGGCAGGGAGCCUCAAGCCCAGACGGAACGCAGGCCCUACCUGUAUUUUUUUUUUUUUGGGGGGGGUGUCACUCCCUUUUUCAUUACACACUUGCAAAUACCAAGAGCCACCAUAACCUGCUGUAGAUACAAAGGACCGACCUCAGAUACAGCAACACUUUCCCUGCCAUCAAAAAAAAAAAAAAUUGUGUUUUGUGCAAACCGAGCUGACCUCGUUCAGCAUUGUUAGGACAAAAGCGGCAAGGCCAGCUUGGGAGCGUGAGGCCGGGGCCCGGGGGCCAAGGGGUGCUCAGCCCUGGCAGCUCCGCAACCAGCCUGGGCCAGAAACCUC